AAUCAAAUGGAUGUCCGCGAGGAAGAUGAACCGAGAGCUUCCCGCAAGUGCAGGAAUUGCGGUGUAGAGGGCCAUGACCGUAGAAAUUGCACAGUUGGUCGUGUUAUGUAGGAUCCUCACCGACUAAAUUGUUGACAUCUGCAGUGCAGGAGCUUGAGACAAAGAGGACUUAGCAGGAGAAGAGAUGUGUUAUGAUGAAUUGUAGUUUGUUCUAUAUGUCACUAGCACUGUAGUUAAUUUGUUUUGUGUAGUUUCUAUGAAACGUUGUUUCUGUGUAUCUGCCAAUUAAAUCUAAACUUGUGUUUCGGACUA